rnacentral:rRNA from 1 species
UACGGAAGGCAGCAGUAGGGAAUCUUCCGCAAUGGACGAAAGUCUGACGGAGCAACGCCGCGUGAACGAUGAAGGCUUUCGGGUCGUAAAGUUCUGUUGUUAGGGAGAACAAGUACCGGAGUAACUGCCGGUACCUUGACGGUACCUAACCAGAAAGCCACGGCUAACUACGUGCCAGCAGCCGCGGUAAUACGUAGGUGGCAAGCGUUGUCCGGAAUUAUUGGGCGUAAAGCGCGCGCAGGCGGUCCUUUAAGUCUGAUGUGAAAGCCCACGGCUCAACCGUGGAGGGUCAUUGGAAACUGGGGGACUUGAGUGCAGAAGAGGAGAGUGGAAUUCCACGUGUAGCGGUGAAAUGCGUAGAGAUGUGGAGGAACACCAGUGGCGAAGGCGACUCUCUGGUCUGUAACUGACGCUGAGGCGCGAAAGCGUGGGGAGCGAACAGGGAUUAGAUACC